AGUGAACGCUGGCGGUAGGCCUAACACAUGCAAGUCGAACGGCAGCACAGUAAGAGCUUGCUCCUACGGGUGGCGAGUGGCGGGCGGGUGAGGAAUACAUCGGAAUCUACUUUUUCGUGGGGGAUAACGUAGGGAAACUUACGCUAAUACCGCAUACGACCUACGGGUGAAAGCAGGGGAUCUUCGGACCUUGCGCGAUUGAAUGAGCCGAUGUCGGAUUAGCUAGUUGGCGGGGUAAAGGCCCACCAAGGCGACGAUCCGUAGCUGGUCUGAGAGGAUGAUCAGCCACACUGGAACUGAGACACGGUCCAGACCCCUACGGGAGGCAGCAGUGGGGAAUAUUGGACAAUGGGCGCAAGCCUGAUCCAGCCAUACCGCGUGGGUGAAGAAGGCCUUCGGGUUGUAAAGCCCUUUUGUUGGGAAAGAAAAGCAGCAGGUUAAUACCCCGCUGUUCUGACGGUACCCAAAGAAUAAGCACCGGCUAACUUCGUG
rnacentral:rRNA from 1 species